AUUAAUCACUUUAUAUAAUUUUGUGAGGUCAUUAAUGAUGAAGUUAAAACUAUUUUACUCUAUCUUUUAUUUCUAUUUCUAUUUUUCUUAUUAUAUGUAUAAAUUGUGGGAGGAGUAUACGGUUAUAGAUAUACCGCUAUUCGGAUUCAAAAAUACCUGUUACAAGCCCUAAUUUCAAGGCUUGGCAUUAUAUUAAGUGACCAACCCAGUGAAGAAAGGAAAGGAAAGAAAAG
rnacentral:lncRNA from 1 species